rnacentral:rRNA from 1 species
GACGAACGCUGGCGGCGUGCUUAACACAUGCAAGUCGAACGGAAAGGCCUGCUUUCCCUUGUGGAUUGCGGGUACUCGAGUGGCGAACGGGUGAGUAACACGUGAGUGAUCUGCCCCCAACUUGGGUAUAAGCCUGGGAAACUGGAUCUAAUUCCCGAUAGGACUGCAGGGUGGUGCCUGUGGUGGAAAACGAUUUUCUAGUGGUUGGGGAUGAGCUCGCGGCCUAUCAGCUUGUUGGUGGGGUAAUGGCCUACCAAGGCGGCGACGGGUAGCCGGCCUGGGAGGGUGGACGGCCACAUUGGGACUGAGAUACGGCCCAGACUCCUACGGGAGGCAGCAGUGGGGAAUAUUGCACAAUGGGCGGAAGCCUGAUGCAGCGACGCAGCGUGGGGGAUGACGGCCUUCGGGUUGUAAACUCCUUUCGACCGCGAGGAAGCCACCUGGUUGGAAGGGUGGUGACGGUAGUGGUAGAAGAAGCACCGGCUAACUACGUG